GACGAACCGUGCGAACGUUGUUCGGAAUCACUGGGCUUAAAGGGCGCGUAGGCGGGUCAUCAAGUCCGGGGUGAAAGCCCCCAGCUUAACUGGGGAAGUGCCUUGGAUACUGAUGGUCUCGAGGGGGGUAGGGGCAGUGGGAACUUCCGGUGGAGCGGUGAAAUGCGUUGAUAUCGGAAGGAACGCCGGUGGCGAAAGCGCACUGCUGGACCUUUUCUGACGCUGAGGCGCGAAAGCUAGGGGAGCAAACGGG
rnacentral:rRNA from 1 species